GACGAACGCUGGCGGCGUGCUUAACACAUGCCAGUCGAACGGAAAGGCCCUGCUUUUGUGGGGUGCUCGAGUGGCGAACGGGUGAGUAACACGUGAGUAACCUGCCCUUGACUUUGGGAUAACUUCAGGAAACUGGGGCUAAUACCGGAUAGGAGCUCCUGCUGCAUGGUGGGGGUUGGAAAGUUUCGGCGGUUGGGGAUGGAUUCGCGGCUUAUCAGCUUGUUGGUGGGGUAGUGGCUUACCAAGGCUUUGACGGGUAGCCGGCCUGAGAGGGUGACCGGCCACAAUGGGACUGAGAGACGGCGCAGACUCGUACGGGAGGCAGCAGUGGGGAAUAUUGCACAAUGGGCGGAAGCCUGAUGCAGCAACGCCGCGUGCGGGAUGACGGCCUUCGGGUGGUAAACCGCUUUCGCCUGUGACGAAGCGUGAGUGACGGUAAUGGGUAAAGAAGCACCGGCUAACUACGUG
rnacentral:rRNA from 1 species